rnacentral:rRNA from 1 species
UACGAAGGGGGCUAGCGUUGCUCGGAUUUACUGGGCGUAAAGGGCGCGUAGGCGGACAGUUAAGUCGGGGGUGAAAGCCCGGGGCUCAACCUCGGAAUUGCCUUCGAUACUGGCUGUCUUGAGUGUGAGAGAGGUGUGUGGAACUCCGAGUGUAGAGGUGAAAUUCGUAGAUAUUCGGAAGAACACCAGUGGCGAAGGCGACACACUGGCUCACUACUGACGCUGAGGCGCGAAAGCGUGGGGAGCAAACCGG